UACCAACUCCAGAGGGUAAACUACCCACUCCAGAGGGUAAACUACCAACACCAGAGGGUAAACUACCAACUCCAGAGGGUAAACUACCAACUCCAGGGGUGUAGAGGGUAAACUACCAACUCCAGAGGGUAAACUAUCAACUCCAGGGGUAAACUACCAACUCCAGAGGGUAAACUACCAACUCCAGGGGUAAACUAUCAACUCCAGGGAUGUAGAGGGUAAACUACCAACUCCAGGGGUAAACUACCAACUCCAGGGGUAAACUAUCAACUCCAGGGAGGUAGAGGGUAAACUACCAACUCCAGGGGGUAAACUACCAACUCCAGGGGUAAACUACCAACUCCAGGGGUGUAGUGGGUAAACUACCAACUCCAGAGGGUAAACUACCAACUCCAGGUGUAAACUAUCAACUCCAGGGAUGUAGAGGGUAAACUAUCAACUCCAGGGGUGUAGAGGGUAAACUACCAACUCCAGGGGGUAAACUACCAACUCCAGGGGUGUAGUGGGUAAACUACCAACUCCAGAGGGUAAACUAUCAACUCCAGGGGUGUAAAGGGUAAACUACCAACUCCAGAGGGUAAACUACCAACUCCAGAGGGU